ensembl:lncRNA
GUCUGUCUAGAAUUCCAAAGGCAAAUGACUCAAGGUAACAGGAAAAAAGAAAAUCCAGUAUCAGGAUAAUCAGAACACCACAGGUUUACAGUUUGUAGAAACUAGAACACGAGCAGCUCUCACUUAAGGUCUGUGAUGGAACUCCAGUGGAGAAAUGGCUGGUACUUUUUCCACCCCUUAAUCAGAUUUUUUUUUUAAUUAAAGUAUGUAACCGGUUAUUUUUACUUGAAGUAUUUUGGGGUGGUCUUAACAGGGAAGAGGGUGGGGGAGAAAAUGUUUUUUUCUAAGACUUUCCACAGAUGCUAUAGUACUAUUGACAAACUGAGUUAGAGAAGGAUUGUACUGCUAUGCUGUUGGCACCAAACACCUUCAGGGAUUGGAGCUGCUUUUUUCCUUGGAGUAUUCCCAGUGAAGCUGAAAUAUACAGCACAGUGCAGCUUUGGUUCAUAUUCAGUCAUCUCAGGAGAACUUCAGAGGAGCUUGACUAGGCCAAAUAUUGAAGUUAAGUUUUCAAAUAAUGGAACUUUUUAAGAUGCCUUUUAAAGGGGAGGGGCAAGUUUUGGCAAUUAGUUGGCAGUGGCCUGUUUUGGUUGGGGUUGGGUGGGUUGGGUUUAGGUAAUUGUUUAGUUUAUGAUUUCAGAUAACUCAUGCCAGAGAACUUAAAUACUUAGGAUGGAAAAACUAAAGAAAUCUCACCUCCCAAGUUGGUCUAGCCCACUGGGUUGACCAAGAUAAAAACUUGGGGAAUUGUUUAAACACUAAAGUUGUUUGGAUAUGGUAGUGUGUGGUUCUCUUUUGGAAUUUUUUUCAGGUGAUUUAAUAAAACUUAAUACUACUAUAGGAGCUUCAGAGCAAAGGAAGUGGCUUAAUGAUCCUGAAGGGAUUUCUUCUGAUGGUAGCUUUUAUAUUAUCAAGUUUCUCAUUAUCAGAAGAGUUGCUUCAUAUCAUCUGGGAGCAGAAAACAGCAGGCAGCUGUUCACAGAUAAGUUUAACUUGCAUCUGCAGUAUUGCAUGUUAGGGAUAAGUGCUAUGUUUAAUAAGAGCUGUGGAGGUCCUAGGUCCCUUACUCAAGGGAUCUCAGGAUUUUGAGGAAUUUUCCCAUCCAGCCUUUUAAAAUGAGACAGGCCUUAUGCCUGUGGGCUUCCAUGAUGGGCUAACUCACUUCACUCGAGGCAAGUAAUUCCUUAAAGCCUCUUGAGAUUAAUACCUUAAUAAUCAAGGAUAAUGUUGAUAAAAUAAAAAUUUGUUUAGCAUUGAUUCUUGAAAACCCUAUGAAAAGAUAGCAUAAUGUGCUGUUAACCAGAAUCAGAUAUGUUAACCUUGCUAAAAUUUAAAUGUUAUGUGUAUUGUGCAGAAAACCGUAAAAUCACUCAAAAUAAAAUACUUUAUUUAGCGAAUGUAUGCUUUUAGAAAGCUGUCUCCUUAUUUAAAUAAAAUAUUGUUUGUCUGUAGUUAGUGUUGGGCAAUCUUGGGGGGAUUCUUCUCAUCUUUCAGAGACUUUGUCUGCGAACACUCUGUAAUGGACAAGAUCAGGAAUUGAGCUGAAGAACGAAUUUAACUUAAGGCAGGAAAGACAAAUUUUAUCCUUCGUAAAAUUGAUGACCAUUUAAUAAUUCCAGGCACAUGGCCAUAGAGACCCUCUAAAUAAAUAAGGAAUAAAUACUUAUUAGGCAGGUGGGAGAUUAUGAUCAGAAGAACAGGUAACUACACCUACGCAUUUUUCAGAAAGUCAGGAGUCGAAAUUGACAGUACUGAAGUAUAAUGCGGUCCACAUUUCCAAAGUUUGCAUGUUAAAUUGAAAUGCUUACCAUCUCAUCUAGUGUUAGCCAAUGCUUUACACUUAUUAGCCUUUUAUAUAGACACUUGGUGGGGGGCAUGUGGGUUUUUUAAAGAACUUUCCUUUGCAGAGGCUUCGUUUCAUCCUUCAUGAGGCUGUUCAGGAUUUUGACUUGCAUAUAAACGCU